rnacentral:rRNA from 1 species
AUUGAACGCUGGCGGCAGGCCUAACACAUGCAAGUCGAGCGAGCGGCGGACGGGCGAGUAAUGUAUGGGGCCUGCCCGAUAGAGGGGGAUAACUACUGGAAACGGUGGCUAAUACCGCAUACUAUCGGAUAACCCAUAUGGGAUUAGCUAGUAGGUGGGGUAAAGGCUCACCUAGGCGACGAUCUCUAGCUGGUCUGAGAGGAUGAUCAGCCACAGUGGGACUGAGAGCCGGCCCCGUCUCCUCCGGCGGCUGCCUUGGGGAAUAUUGCACGAGGGGCGCAAGCCUGAUGCAGCCAUGCCGCGUGUAUGGAGAAGGCCUUAGGGUUGUAAAGUACUUUCGGCGGGGAGGCGUUACCCGCCGAAGAAGCACCGGCUAAAUCCGUGCCAGCAGCCGCGGUAAUUC